CAUAACAAGGUAAGACUAAAACAUUCAGGUAGGUAAACAACGAUAAUUAAGUAUCUGCUGUUCAACUCCAUCUUGAUACCUUGGAUUUUUUUUUUUUUUUAAGAAUGGUUAAUAUAGGAGCCAAGAGAAACCUGAACUUAUGUAAUAAAGAUAGAACACACUGUAGUUUUCUUAAUGAACCCUUUAAAUUAACCUGUAUGCCAGUCUUGGUGCUGUAAGCAUCUCUGCACUGGAUUGGUCUUUGUCUGAGAGCAAAAUUUUCUGACAGAUUUCAGGAAACAAAUUUUACUCUUAAAAAAAUUAAGAAGUAUGCUGGUUCUAAGCUUGAAGUACAUGUGGUAGCAGCGCUGUUGGGCAGGUGUGAUCACAGCAUACUGAUAUUAGCAUUUGUUAAUAAGCUGAAGGAGAGUUAUGUAAGUGUUCCUAAUUCUACAUACAUUGUUAGAUGUUAAGUCCAGAUGUAUAAAACUAUCUAAUGGGAAAUGACUAUUUUGAGCCUAGAUGUGUUCUAGGAGAAAGGAGGAGAAAAGUACAGUUUGCUUUUGAACAAUAAGCAGUCACUUUAGUCAGAAGCAAGGCCGUUCUGCUGUCAAAAACCCCAACCUUUUGACUUGUUUCCCUCACUACUUUGUCUUCUUGCCACUGAGGUGAUCAAGGAAGAAAACCAAAUAUGUGAAGCUCAUUACAUGGCUGUGAAUACUACUCAGCAUACAAAGAAGUAGGCCCAUUGUGUUCUGCAGCAGUGUAAGCUGUUUCUCUGAACCUGACAAAACAGUCAAGCUUUUUCAAGACCAGCAAGUAUCGAUUUUUCUCCUCAAGACAACUAACCACCAAGACAUGCCCACAACCUCCAGCUGUGUCAAAUGAUAAAAUUAUUACCCAUUUUUGGACCAUGUGUGUACUCCUACCACAAAACAGGAGGCUAAGCUUUCCUCUGAGGACUAUACAGGAACUCUCGACCUUCUCUUUCUGAACCAGUUAUGUCUUCAGCCUUUCACUCCACAUGUUCCAGUAUAACAUGAGUAUUGCCUACUCCUGAUAACUUCGGUAUGUUAAACUGGGAAGCGAGCUAAUAGUUCAUCACUUUGUAUGAUCUUUAGCCUGUGCCAGUCAGAAGCAUAUUCUCCCUUUCAUUAGGGAGCCAUCAAAACAGAAGAAACGCAUUGUCUGGUUGCCAAAUUCAUAACCAGAUUAAUGGUAUGUAGCAUAUAUUCAGACAUGAGUUAAUUGCACAAGUAAGAAAAAGGAUAAACCUGAACAAAAAAUAUUCCAAUGCAAGAAAGCCAGAUUGAAGUAUAAUGCCUAAAGCCUCAAAAUUUACCACUGCUGUACAACACACACUAUGGACAACUCCUAUGUCCCCACAUGUGUGAUAGUAUGUUUUUUAAUUCCUUACACUGUGCAUCUAGAACAGGGGAGUUACUCUGUUAGCAACUACAGUUGUCUUAAAAAUGCUUUCUCUGAAAUCCAAAUCAUUACACCAGGUAUAAACACAUGCUAGUUUCAUUUACUGAGAACAACUUUCAGGUAGAAGACAGAUACAAUGUUUAAUCAGUAAUUGAAGAACUUCAGCCAGAGGAGGCUCCUGUUCAUUAAAAUCAAAUUAUUUUUGGAAGCAUAAGCAACAAGACUUUUCUUCCCUUGCAGACUUCUGGUGAUCAACCAAGUUACUCUUGUAAUUACCAUCAGCAGUUUCUCACCUGACAGUCAGCUCACAUCCAAGUUUAAUGAAUCAUGACAUGAUUUAGGCAAAAAAUAGUCUGCACUAAGACAAAAUUGACACAUUAUACAGUGGCAAUAUUUUUCUAUGGCAUCAUCCAUUCUUAUGGAUGAAAAACACAGUAUGUAUCAGAAAAGCUAAAAGGCUAUUAAAACAAAGCAAAACAAAAUAUUAACAGCGUGUGGUGGAAAGAAAUAGAGAACAGAGUUAAUUUGCAAAAAUUGCCUCAGAAGGCAAAUGUAUAAGGAGCUACACAGAAAAGCCUAAAUAUCAAACACCUUUAUAUACAAAAUCAAUAUAUGACUACUCUGGUAGUGCUACUGGUAAUAAAAAUACCAUCAAAACCUAAUUUUCUUGAUUACCUAGAUACAGCAAAAUAUAAAAUACAAUGGAGAGCAAAAGCAGGAGAGAAAACAAUGCCUAGAGGUAAGGUACCUUUAUGAAACCAAUUGGAAUAUUACAAAACCAAUCUUACUAAAACUAUAAAGUCUGUCACUUCAGAGAGAGUCUAGAGCUGCUUUGGAAAACUGACCAAAGCAAAAUGAGCACCUAAGAAACGGGGAAUGCCGGACUUCAUAGUAACACAGGAAAGAUGACAAGCAUUAGAAGAAGCUUCACUUACCAUAAAUUGUUUUACUGAUCUAAAGCCUGCUUGAGCUAUGCUUCAAAAUAAUUCAGGACAAACUUUUUUUUAUCAUGUUUUAAAUGACCCUCACUCUGUCCCCUAGAACGCAUGGUUCUGCAAAUUAGAUGCUCAAACAUGGGAGGGCAAGUCACUUGACUCUAGUUUCUGAAUACUAUGUUGGGUGUCAUUAGCUAUAAAGUGAUCUUACAACUGUACCCACAGCAGUAUUUGGAAAUCAGUUUCUAAUGUUAUUUUUCCCCACCCUAAAACUAAUCACAUUAGCAUUCCAGUGUUUUUUAAUAUUCUUAGAUCUCGUAGAUCUUCAGUUUAUGCUUCACCUAAAAGAGAAAAUAACAGCAGCACAUUGCUACCACUGCUCGUUGUCUCAGUUGUCAACAGCACUUGAUGAAACGCAUGUGGCUCAUCUCAACUCAAACUGAGACUACCCAUCUUUAAACCAGCAGGUCCCCUGCUCUCAGCCGCUUCAGCUGGCCAGAACUAAUGGAUUGUGCAAAUAAAAGAGUCUGCGUGCUGGAAAACGUGCAAAGCUGAGACCCAGUGAAAUCCAAGAACUUGACAGCACUUCCACAGCACAAAGGCCACUCGUUUCUCACCUUGCCCCAAACUGGAUACACUGGGGAGUGGGGACACAAGCAGGCAGAUGACCUGAACUAACCAAAGAGCUAUUCCAUACCAUGUAACGUCAUGCUCAGCAAUGAGAGGGAAAAGAGGGGGUCUCAGGGGAGUUAGCCAUCUUUUCACUUGGGAACCAUCUGUGCAGCAAUCUGCCCACAGGAGGUGAUGUCCAUAUCUGGAAUAUCUAUGCAUGAGUAAGUAACAACUGAAAGGAGGGGGCUAAUUAAAAAAACCACACUCCUGAAUUUUUUAGAAACCAUCUGUAAAAACUGGAAUCUGCUUCAGGCAUUAAACAGAAAUCUGUUUCGUUAUUUUAAAAUAUCCAAAGUUAGGAGGCUUACGGAAGUAAAAUAACAUUUUUAAAACCCCACAAAACCCCAAACAUAGGUCACAGUGACUCCUUGACAAAAUACGCAGAAGAAAAAAUUUCCGGAAGUUCAAGUGACUUGGAAUAGAAUCCUGAGUGCUACUCAGCGGAGAAAACCUCAUCGUGCUCAGGAAAUCCUGUGACCUGAAAAAAGCUGGAGACAGAAAGUACUGGGAGCAGAAAUGGGAAGGAAAUUUGUAUCUCCUCACUCUGAUCUUAAUUUUUCCUAAACAUCCUUUUGCGGUCACUGGGGUUUCUAUUUGUUUUUCCAUGGUGUUUUUCUGAGGGUUUGGGGUGGAGACAGGAUACAGGGCUGGGCGGAAUCUUUAAUAAGAACAUGGACAUUCAUUCUUUCUUUGUGCAUCGUUUUGCAUACAGAUUUAUGUCAAAAAUGGAAAUACAAUUAAUGCUAUAAGAACGAUACUGAUAUACCUUCAAGAACAAUUAUUUUAAUACUAUGCUAACCUGAAUUUACUUCCAUGUUUACUAACACUGCUAACAUUAAAAACCUCUGCAUUUUCUGAAGGUGGACUCAGUUUUGCACAUCAUCGUGAUAGGUAAACGCUAGUGAUUAGGCAUGUUGUGUCUUACUGAAUAACUUGCAAAUAAAACAGAAUUGCAAUCGUUGAGUUGGUUGGGUUUUGGUUUGUUAGGAUUUUUUUAUCCUCCAAUUCAAAGCAUUAGCAGAUCUGGUCAAAACCACUUCAGCACUCUACCUUGAAAACACACAUACUUCUCAAAAGAAAUUCAGAACAAUUUAUAAGUUGGUUUCAGAGCACAAGAAGAAGGUCUAGGCUCUGAUUCUAAGUGGGCAGUAUCCCACGAAAUUCUGGGAUAUUUUAGUACAUAGAACAGCUGAGCAAACACCAAAACCACCAUUAAUACUCAAAUGUCUUUUGUAAUAUUAAAUGUGUUAGAUGCAUAGUAAUUUUUUUUUCCACAAGCAAUUAGUUUAGAUUUUACUAAUCCCUUCAGUGCACCAGGCAGUCAAGAAUCACACAUUCAGAGUUCACAACUUUUAAAACAAAUUACUUUUGGUAUAUGAAACUUAGUUCUUAUGUCAUGCAGAACAUGAUUCUAUUCCUUGGUUAACUACUAAAUAAAUUAGAACAGAAUAAACUAAGAUUCACAAUGUUGACCAUAAUAUCACUUUAAAAGCAGUCGUUUUCAAAAUUACUUUAUGUCUUCUAUUUAUAAGCUUACUUGCAAACUUAAUUUUCUUAUUUCAAGCAUUUUUACAGUGGA